rnacentral:misc_RNA from 1 species
UUGUACACACCGCCCGUCACACCAUGGGAGCUGGUAUGCCCGAAGUCGGUUUUGUUAACUACGGAGACAACUGCCUAAGGCAGGACUGGUGACUGGGGUGAAGUCGUAACAAGGUAUCCCUACGAGAACGUGGGGAUGGAUUACCUCCUUUCUACGGAGUACAUAAAUUACUAUUUAAAUAGUAAUAACGACAUUUACAACUGACUUAAGUUCAUAUUUUUAAAUAUUUGUCAUGUUCUAUUGUUUAAGUCCAAUAGGUAUAUCUAGUUUUGAGAGAACAUCUCUCAAAAGUUCUUUGAAAACUGAAUAGUAAAGUUAAUUAAAUAUAACAACGACAUCAAAUAAAAUUUAAACAAAUGUCUAUUUGUUUUGAUUUACCGAGUUAUUUUUUCGAAAUAAUUCAUUAAAAUGUCUUGAAUAUACAUCAACAAUAGGUAAAUAUUGUACUUUUAAAUAAGUAAGAGUUUAUGGUGGAUGCCUUGGGUCUGGAAGUCGAUGA